AACAUUUCACAACACGAGCUGACGACAGCCAUGCAGCACCUGUCUCAGAGUUCCCGAAGGCACCAAAGCAUCUCUGCUAAGUUCUCUGGAUGUCAAGAGUAGGUAAGGUUCUUCGCGUUGCAUCGAAUUAAACCACAUGCUCCACCGCUUGUGCGGGCCCCCGUCAAUUCAUUUGAGUUUUAACCUUGCGGCCGUACUCCCCAGGCGGUCAACUUAAUGCGUUAGCUGCGCCACUAAGAGCUCAAGGCUCCCAACGGCUAGUUGACAUCGUUUACGGCGUGGACUACCAGGGUAUCUAAUCCUGUUUGCUCCCCACGCUUUCGCACCUCAGUGUCAGUAUCAGUCCAGGUGGUCGCCUUCGCCACUGGUGUUCCUUCCUAUAUCUACGCAUUUCACCGCUACACAGGAAAUUCCACCACCCUCUACCAUACUCUAGCUCGACAGUUUUGAAUGCAGUUCCCAGGUUGAGCCCGGGGAUUUCACAUCCAACUUAACGAACCACCUACGCGCGCUUUACGCCCAGUAAUUCCGAUUAACGCUUGCACCCUCUGUAUUACCGCGGCUGCUGGCACAGAGUUAGCCGGUGCUUAUUCUGUCGGUAACGUCAAAAUUGCAGAGUAUUAAUCUACAACCCUUCCUCCCAACUUAAAGUGCUUUACAAUCCGAAGACCUUCUUCACACACGCGGCAUGGCUGGAUCAGGCUUUCGCCCAUUGUCCAAUAUUCCCCACUGCUGCCUCCCGUAGGAGUCUGGACCGUGUCUCAGUUCCAGUGUGACUGAUCAUCCUCUCAGACCAGUUACGGAUCGUCGCCUUGGUGAGCCAUUACCUCACCAACUAGCUAAUCCGACCUAGGCUCAUCUGAUAGCGCAAGGCCCGAAGGUCCCCUGCUUUCUCCCGUAGGACGUAUGCGGUAUUAGCGUUCCUUUCGAAACGUUGUCCCCCACUACCAGGCAGAUUCCUAGGCAUUACUCACCCGUCCGCCGCUGAAUCCAGGAGCAAGCUCCUUUCAUCCGCUC
rnacentral:rRNA from 1 species